rnacentral:rRNA from 1 species
UACGAAGGUGGCAAGCGUUGUUCGGAUUUACUGGGCGUACAGGGAGCGUAGGCGGUUGGAUAAGCCCUCCGUGAAAUCUCCAGGCUUAACCUGGAAAGUGCAGAGGGGACUGUUCAGCUAGAGGAUGGGAGAGGAGCGCGGAAUUCCCGGUGUAGCGGUGAAAUGCGUUGAUAUCAUUAGGAACUCCGGUGGCGAAGGCGGCUCGCUGGACCUUUCUGACGCUGAGGCGCGAAAGCUAGGGGAGCAAACGGGG